AUACGUAGGGUGCGAGCGUUGUCCGGAAUUACUGGGCGUAAAGAGCUCGUAGGUGGUUUGUCGCGUCGUCUGUGAAAUUCCGGGGCUUAACUCCGGGCGUGCAGGCGAUACGGGCAUAACUUGAGUACUGUAGGGGAGACUGGAAUUCCUGGUGUAGCGGUGAAAUGCGCAGAUAUCAGGAGGAACACCGGUGGCGAAGGCGGGUCUCUGGGCAGUAACUGACGCUGAGGAGCGAAAGCAUUGGUAGCGAACAGGAUUAGAUACCCUGGUAGUCCAUGCCGUAAACGGUGGGCGCUAGGUGUAGGGGUCUUCCACGACUUCUGUGCCGUAGCUAACGCAUUAAGCGCCCCGCCUGGGGAGUACGGCCGCAAGGCUAAAACUCAAAUGAAUUGACGGGG
rnacentral:rRNA from 1 species